GAAUCAGCAAAUAAUACCUCCUAGUCCUUGUCUUCAGCGGGCUUUUGCAUGCUGAAGGUGCGCCUGUGGAUGUUGCUGUGGUUGAGCCGGGGUUGCUGAGCACUUCUGAAAAGCAUCUGCACUGAAACAUUCUGGAUUUCAUUGGGCAUGGUGUCUGGUGAUGACUGAAAUCUGCUGCUGAAGCAAAUUCUAGAGGAGGUUUCAGAGCUGUGACUAUGGCUUCUUUGCACAUAAAUGUUAUUGUGUGUUUGUUUGAACAUGGUAGGAUAUUUAAUGUAUUAUAGAAAUACAUUUUCUACAUCCAGACUCAGUGUCAGUAUCACCAUAGAACUUUUCUUCCCAACGUAUUUCCUUCAUUUGAGCCUUAAAAAUUAAACAAAAAACCCACAACAAAUCAAAACAAACAAACAAAAAAAGCACACCCCCAGACCUUGAGAAAAUGUAAUUUCCUGUGAAACAUGUACCCUACUGUCAUCUUCUGGGGGAAGAGAACAUUAUUGUAUCCACUGUUGUUGUAAGUGAAAUAUGGUGUACAGCAUGCUAAAUAACUGCUAAGUCAAAUGUCAGUGUGAACCCAGAAAUCCUCACUAGAGGAAAAAAUAAAUAUUUUUAUUUUCUCUAAAAGCUUCCCUGUAAAAUUCUUCUAAGGAUGUUCUUCAUGAGACAACACAAAACAAACAGAUGGGCACCCCCUCUUCAUUUCUCAGCCCGGUGACAGGACUGUUGGGACUUUUGGCCAAGUGCUCUGAAAAUAUUCUGAGUCUAUAAAAAAUGAAGCCCACCUUGUUAACGAAGGGUAUGCCUCAUCUGUGUUGAGCAGGAAACUUGGAUAUUAGAUGUUUCUAUUUAAGGUCACACUCUUAUCCCUGUAUUGUUACUUCCGAAGAAGCUGCGAAGACAACUGAUACGAACCUUCACUGCUCACAAGGCCAGGGCAAAGAGUUGGACAAAGCUGUUUAGUUAAAGUAGUUCCUUGUUUUAUUUCCUUUCCUUUCAUAUGCAAUGACAUCUUGCCUUUUGAAGUACAUGCCAUUUUUUCUACAUUAUAUUACCUACGCUUCAGCAUUUUCAUUCUGAUUUGUAUAAUUAUUUUUUUCUUCUACAACACUCUUGAUUUUCAAGUAUAUUUCCGUAUAUUUCCUUUUUUUUUUUUUUUCCUAGCCUUUCAAAUGGGUUGUUUGGCCUCUGUAUACAUAAUUUUCUUGAUUUGUAUUGAAGAUUGUAGAAGAAAGCUGAUAACCUCAGCAUAGUAUUUGCAGUACAGUGCGUCAUCAUGUAACCAGACUAAAUAACAAGGCAUUAUUCACAAGGAGGUGAGGUUAUAUUUGCUGCUG